rfam:Loxodonta africana unplaced genomic scaffold scaffold_37, whole genome shotgun sequence.
GCAUUGAUGGUUGAGUGGUAGAAUUCUCACCUUUCAUAUGGGAGACCCAGGUUCAAUUCCCAGCCAAUGCA